rnacentral:rRNA from 1 species
GACGAACGCUGGCGGCGUGCUUAACACAUGCAAGUCGAACGGAAAGGCCCCCUUGUGGGGUACUCGAGUGGCGAACGGGUGAGUAACACGUGAUUAACCUACCCUUUACUUUGGGAUAACUUCAGGAAACUGGGGCUAAUACCGGAUAUGAGCUCCUGCUGCAUGGUGGGGGUUGGAAAGUUUCUGCGGUUGGGGCUAGGCUGGCGGCUUAUCAGCUUGUUGGUGGGGUAGUGGCUCACCAAGGCUUUGACGGAUAGCCGGCCUGAGAGGGUGACCGGCCCCAAUGGGACUGAGGGAGGGACCAGAGGGCUACGGGGGGCAAUGGUGGAGAGUAUUGCACAAUGGGCGGAAGCGUGAUACAGCAGCGCCGCGUGCGGGAUGACGGCUUUCGGGUUGUAAACCGCUUUCGCCUGUGACGAAGCGUGAGUGACGGUAAUGGAUAAAGAAGCACCGGCUAACUACGUG